GAAGAAAUGACCUGGGGGGCUGAGGAGCAGAUGAAGAAAAUGUAUCCUCACCUAUUUCCAGUACCUUCAGACCUUGGGGAGCCCGAGGCGUAGAUUGGGAUUGACUUUAGAUUGGCUAUCUUGGGGUGCGUGCGAGGUAUGUAAAGCAACCUUCCUUCUUUUAGCAUGCCUUAGUUUUCAAUAGGCUGGAUUAUAAGCCUUAAGGAAAAUUCUAAGAUUCGAAAUCCGAGCAUGCUACGAUCCUUAUAUAUAUAUUGCUUGGCACUCUUAUGCAUGAUUGAUGAAAUAUGAACCAUUAUGUCUUUGAAAUAAUCGCUUUCCGAACUUUGCAUAGAAAGGGUUCACUUUAAAGAAUUUCGUAAUCUCUGAAUGCCAUAUCUUUCGCAUAAAAGCUCGGAUUGCUCCAAAAAAAUUUAUAGGAGUUUCAUGAUGUAUAAUGAGUAUGCUUUCAAUAGGCGGGCCCGACUUGGGUCAAUACCCGUUCGUGGGUCCCGCGACUUUCUUUUAUGUAAUUCGGAGAACUUUGGAAAGAAUUUGUUAUGACUAUGAUUCGAUUUUCAAGUAUGACCAUUUUACUUAUGUUUGAGUUCAUGAUAAUGAUUUUAUGCAUAUGACUACUCACGACUCUACUCGUGCAUUCUGUUAUCUCUUUCGCCGAGUCCCGGGCCGGUUCUGUUGUCGUGCGCACUUUGAUAUACUCCGGAGUUAUGCUGUGUUUAUGGUUCACCGAGCUACUCGUCAAAGAGGGUCGGGUUCCACUUAUAUAUGAUGUUAUGGUGUGUAUGGCGUUAUGCUGUGUUAUGGUAUGAGACGGGAAUAUGGAGAUUUGAAACUUUCUGGUGUUAUGCUGUGUUAUGGCGCCAUUGACGGGCGGGCGACCAUAUUCUUCUGUACCCUAUGCAUGACUUAUAUUUUUGAAAAUUAAACAUUUUGAUAUAGUGGAUUUGUACUUA